rnacentral:rRNA from 1 species
UACGUAGGUGGCGAGCGUUGUCCGGAAUUACUGGGUGUAAAGCGCGUGUAGGCGGGAGGCCAAGUCUGUGGUGAAAUCGCUCGGCUUAACUGGGCGGGGUCCAUGGAAACUGGUCACCUGGAGGUCGGUAGAGGCAAGUGGAAUUCCUGGUGUAGCGGUGGAAUGCGCAGAUAUCAGGAGGAACACCAAUAGCGAAGGCAGCUCGCUGGGACGGUACUGACGCUAAGGCGCGAAAGCGUGGGGAGCGAACAGG